GUGCUUGAUUUGGCUGCACAUACACUAAAUUUUGAACAAUACAGAGAUUAGCAUGGCCCCUGUGCAAGUAUGACACACAAAAGGACGUAGGGAUUCCGUAUUUUU
ensembl:snRNA Gm26446 U6 spliceosomal RNA